rnacentral:rRNA from 1 species
AUUCCAGCUCCAAUAGCGUAUAUUAAAGUUGUUGCAGUUAAAAAGCUCGUAGUUGGAUUUCUGUUUCUGGGAUCUGGUCCGCCUCACGGUGAGCACUGGAUAACUGGGGACAUCCUCUCGAAGGCGGCGGGUGCACUUGAUUGUGUGUUUGUUGAAUUCGGGACCUUUACUUUGAAAAAAUUAGAGUGUUCAAAGCAGGCGUCGGCUUGAAUACAUUAGCAUGGAAUAAUGGAAUAGGACUUUGGUUCUAUUUUGUUGGUUUCUAGGACCGAAGUAAUGAUUAAUAGGGACAGUUGGGGGCAUUAGUAUUUAAUUGUCAGAGGUGAAAUUCUUGGAUUUAUGAAAGACUAACUACUGCGAAAGCAUUUGCCAAGGAUGUUUUCAUUG